GACGAACGCUGGCGGCGUGCUUAACACAUGCAAGUCGAACGGAAAGGCCCUGCUUUUGUGGGGUGCUCGAGUGGCGAACGGGUGAGUAACACGUGAGUAACCUGCCCUUGACUUUGGGAUAACUUCAGGAAACUGGGGCUAAUACCGGAUAGGAGCUCCUGCUGCAUGGUGGGGGUUGGAAAGUUUCGGCGGUUGGGGAUGGACUCGCGGCUUAUCAGCUUGUUGGUGGGGUAGUGGCUUACCAAGGCUUUGACGGGUAGCCGGCCUGAGAGGGUGACCGGCCACAUUGGGACUGAGAUACGGCCCAGACUCCUACGGGAGGCAGCAGUGGGGAAUAUUGCACAAUGGGCGGAAGCCUGAUGCAGCAACGCCGCGUGCGGGAUGACGGCCUUCGGGUUGUAAACCGCUUUCGCCUGUGACGAAGCGUGAGUGACGGUAAUGGGUAAAGAAGCACCGGCUAACUACGUGCCAGCAGCCGCGGUGAUACGUAGGGUGCGAGCGUUGUCCGGAUUUAUUGGGCGUAAAGGGCUCGUAGGUGGUUGAUCGCGUCGGAAGUGUAAUCUUGGGGCUUAACCCUGAGCGUGCUUUCGAUACGGGUUGACUUGAGGAAGGUAGGGGAGAAUGGAAUUCCUGGUGGAGCGGUGGAAUGCGCGGAUAUCAGGAGGAACACCAGUGGCGAAGGCGGUUCUCUGGGCCUUUCCUGACGCUGAGGAGCGAAAGCGUGGGGAGCGAACAGGCUUAGAUACCCUGGUAGUCCACGCUGUAAACGGUGGGUACUAGGUGUGGGGUCCAUUCCACGGGUUCCGUGCCGUAGCUAACGCUUUAAGUACCCCGCCUGGGGAGUACGGCCGCAAGGCUAAAACUCAAAGGAAUUGACGGGGCCCCGCACAAGCGGCGGAGCAUGCGGAUUAAUUCGAUGCAACGCGUAGAACCUUACCUGGGUUUGACAUGGAUCGGGAGUGCUCAGAGAUGGGUGUGCCUCUUUUGGGGUCGGUUCACAGGUGGUGCAUGGCUGUCGUCAGCUCGUGUCGUGAGAUGUUGGGUUAAGUCCCGCAACGAGCGCAACCCUUGUUCACUGUUGCCAGCACGUUAUGGUGGGGACUCAGUGGAGACCGCCGGGGUCAACUCGGAGGAAGGUGGGGAUGACGUCAAGUCAUCAUGCCCCUUAUGUCCAGGGCUUCACGCAUGCUACAAUGGCUGGUACAGAGAGUGGCGAGCCUGUGAGGGUGAGCGAAUCUCGGAAAGCCGGUCUCAGUUCGGAUUGGGGUCUGCAACUCGACCUCAUGAAGUCGGAGUCGCUAGUAAUCGCAGAUCAGCAACGCUGCGGUGAAUACGUUCCCGGG
rnacentral:rRNA from 1 species